GACGAACGCUGGCGGCGUGCCUAAUACAUGCAAGUCGAACGAACCGCGACUAGGUGCUUGCACUUGGUCAAGGUGAGUGGCGAACGGGUGAGUAACACGUGGGUAACCUACCUCAUAGUGGGGGAUAACAGUCGGAAACGACUGCUAAUACCGCAUCGGACAUGGGAUCACAUGAUUCUGUGAGGAAAGGUGGCGCAAGCUAUCGCUAAGAGAUGGACCCGCGGUGCAUUAGCUAGUUGGUAGGGUAACGGCCUACCAAGGCGAUGAUGCAUAGCCGACCUGAGAGGGUGAUCGGCCACAUUGGGACUGAGACACGGCCCAAACUCCUACGGGAGGCAGCAGUAGGGAAUCUUCCGCAAUGGACGCAAGUCUGACGGAGCAACGCCGCGUGAGUGAAGAAGGUCUUCGGAUCGUAAAGCUCUGUUGUUAGAGAAGAACAGCGCAUAGAGUAACUGUUAUGCGUGUGACGGUAUCUAACCAGAAAGCCACGGCUAACUACGUG
rnacentral:rRNA from 1 species